GACGAACGCUGGCGGCGUGCCUAAUACAUGCAAGUCGAACGAAACUUUCUUACACCGAAUGCUUGCAUUCACCGUAAGAAGUUGAGUGGCGGACGGGUGAGUAACACGUGGGUAACCUGCCUAAAAGAAGGGGAUAACACUUGGAAACAGGUGCUAAUACCGUAUAUCUCUAAGGAUCGCAUGAUCCUUAGAUGAAAGAUGGUUCUGCUAUCGCUUUUAGAUGGACCCGCGGCGUAUUAACUAGUUGGUGGGGUAACGGCCUACCAAGGUGAUGAUACGUAGCCGAACUGAGAGGUUGAUCGGCCACAUUGGGACUGAGACACGGCCCAAACUCCUACGGGAGGCAGCAGUAGGGAAUCUUCCACAAUGGACGCAAGUCUGAUGGAGCAACGCCGCGUGAGUGAAGGAGGUCUUCGGAUCGUAAAACUCUGUUGUUAGAGAAGAACACGAGUGAGAGUAACUGUUCAUUCGAUGACGGUAUCUAACCAGCAAGUCACGGCUAACUACGUGCCAGCAGCCGCGGUAAUACGUAGGUGGCAAGCGUUGUCCGGAUUUAUUGGGCGUAAAGGGAACGCAGGCGGUCUUUUAAGUCUGAUGUGAAAGCCUUCGGCUUAACCGGAGUAGUGCAUUGGAAACUGGAAGACUUGAGUGCAGAAGAGGAGAGUGGAACUCCAUGUGUAGCGGUGAAAUGCGUAGAUAUAUGGAAGAACACCAGUGGCGAAAGCGGCUCUCUGGUCUGUAACUGACGCUGAGGUUCGAAAGCGUGGGUAGCAAACAGGAUUAGAUACCCUGGUAGUCCACGCCGUAAACGAUGAAUGCUAGGUGUUGGAGGGUUUCCGCCCUUCAGUGCCGCAGCUAACGCAAUAAGCAUUCCGCCUG
rnacentral:rRNA from 1 species